UACAGAGGGGGCGAGCGUUGUUCGGAAUUACUGGGCGUAAAGCGCGCGUAGGCGGAUCGCUAAGUCAGGGGUGAAAUCCCAGGGCUCAACCCUGGAACUGCCUUUGAUACUGACGAUCUGGAGAUCGGGAGAGGUUGGUGGAAUUCCGAGUGUAGAGGUGAAAUUCGUAGAUAUUCGGAGGAACACCAGAAGCGAAGGCGGCCAACUGGCCCGAUACUGACGCUGAGGCGCGAAAGCGUGGGGAGCAAACAGG
rnacentral:rRNA from 1 species